GGGUCAAAUAGUCCCUAAGAAUAGAUAAGCUUAAUUAUUCAGAUUUAGUAAUUAUUACCCAUCAAAACUCCAACUGUGAUUCUGACACCGAAGUCUAUGCAAGGUGAUAGCACAUCAGUUCCAUCCUGCUGGAGGUGACUCGUCGCCAUGUUCCCGAUCCCAGUGGUCCAUUGAUUCCAGAGCCACUUUCCUGCCUACCUCAUCAAAAGCAAGAGGAAGAGAAAAUCAUACCUGUGUCCCCAGCUGGGUCAGUCAUCUGUGGAGACUUUCUGAAAAGCAACUCUCCCUGCUGGAUUAAUCUCUGCCCAGCCUAGCUAAAAAACAAAACACAGUUGCUAACUUCCCCUCUCUCUGUGAAACUGGCAACUUCAACUUUUUAUUUUUAGGAUUUUUAACUGUAAGUAAAUACCACAAAAAGUCAAACAACAAUGGUAAACAAAACGGAAAUUGAGACAGUUAUAAAGGACAAAAAAAUCUCAAAAGAGAAAUUGUCAGUCAGUUCUUGGGUUUCCUUCAAUUUUCCAUGGCUGUGAGCUUGCCUUUCUCAUAACUGAUCCCUGACUCCCAUUUCUAUAAUUCUUAUGUCACUGUGGAUCCUCUAGGAACUGAACAGAAUUAGAAGUUUGAGAGAUUUAUUGAGGGGAAUGGCAGGAAGCGUAAAGGGUAGAGGGAAUAGGAUUUGGAGGUUGAGUGAGCUUUAGACCAUGAUGCGUUUCUGAUAUCUAUGAGAUAAGACAGGGAUGAAAGAAGGUUUGGGUAGAAAAGGCCUCAG
rnacentral:lncRNA from 1 species